GAUCAUGGCUCAGGAUGAACGCUGGCGGCGUGCCUAAUACAUGCAAGUCGAGCGGAAAGGCCUCUUCGGAGGUACUCGAGCGGCGGACGGCAGAGUAACGCGUAGGAACAUACCCCAAACUGAGGGAUAACUGCCCGAAAGGGUGGCUAAUACCGCAUGUGAUCUUCGGAUUAAAGCUUCGGCGGUUUGGGAAUGGCCUGCGUUCGAUUAGCUAGUUGGUGAGGUAAAGGCUCACCAAGGCGACGAUCGAUAACUGGUCUGAGAGGAUGAUCAGUCUGACUGGAACUGAGACACGGUCCAGACUCCUACGGGAGGCAGCAGUAGGGAAUUUUCCACAAUGGGCGAAAGCCUGAUGGAGCAACGCCGCGUGCAGGAUGAAGGCCCUUGGGUCGUAAACUGCUUUUAUGUGAGAAGAAUAUGACGGUAACACAUGAAUAAGGGUCGGCUAACUACGUG
rnacentral:rRNA from 1 species